CCAGCGCUGCAUUGUGGGAGCUUUUAAAGCGGCGGGGGAGCGCGGCGCGGCCAUCGGGCCCACCGGCGCCCAGCCCGCGGGCCCCAGCACGCCCCAGAGGCUGCUCGGCCCGCCACACGCUCCCCCACCGCCGAGGCCUGUGGACCAGACGUGGUGAGAUGACCAGGGCCUCGCGGACACUCACGCGUGCAAAAUCUUCCAUAGACCGGGCUGAGACUUGUAAACCUGCCCUCUGCGCUGCCCCGGAAAGUAGGAGGCUUUAUCCGCACACAGGGGGAAAUAACCAGAUCCGUUCCAUCCCCCAAGGACUGGGUUUCAAUUGCUUUUCAUCCAGAGUGGCGGUGAUUCAGCGUCCCCCUCAGCAGCAGGCAAUGACAGAGGCAGGAGACGGAAAAAAAAAAAAAAAAAAAACCCACCGAAAACAGCGAAUGAAUCAGACAUGGGGACAACUAAGUACAGGUCAAUGGUAUGUGGAUGGAAGUUGUUCUGUGGAACUCCUGGAAAAACUCCUUCUUUAUGUGCUGGUGGUGAGGUACUGGCAGGCUUGACUGCCUGAACAUGGAUGUGAUAGCUGGAGCUACAGCAACAAUCCUGUGGUAUCAAAACUACCUUAAAGCCUGAAGUCCUAUGCUAAGGAAGACAUCAGAAGUGUGAAAAGAGUCACCUAAGAACCUGAGCUCCCUACUUCUGAAUUUCUUUUAUGUGAGAUAGAAAUAGCAGGUCUCCUAAUGAUAGCCAAACACAGUUGCUAACUGAUACAACAAAUAACUACAAUAUAGUGACAUAAGGGGUCAAAAAGAGGUAUAUAGAAAGUUCUAUGAGUGUGCAUUGAAGGAAAGGAUAAAUUUUGCCUGGAGAAAAGGAGAUUGGAAAAGGCUUCACAGAGGAGAUGACUUAAAAGAUGACUAACUAUUCACUAGCUGAGAAAGAAGGGCUUUCAAAUGCAAUAGUAUAAAAUCAAUGUUCCAGAACAUUUUUGUUUAUGGCAAAGUUGAUGCAUCUUGAAAGAUAGAUGAUGGUCUUAAAAAAAAAAUUUAUUAGGGGACGAUGUGAUAUUAAGCAUAGGAAGUCACGGAAGCCCUUACGGUCUAUGGCAGGAAGAAUUCGAAGAAGUUCUGAUCAAGGGAACUAUUAUAAUACUAAUUUUUAUAUAUUUGCCUUCGUGUAAUUUUCUUCCUGUUUUUGAGAAGAAAAUAGUAAGAAGGUACUUCACAAAGUUCCUGCAAGGAUUUGUGUUAUCUUUUAAUUCUCUUUUUCAGAGAACUUUCUGAAGUACCGUUGUAUGUAUAUCUUCUCCCGUUUAAUUCUGCUCAUCCUGAUGUUUAAUCACUUUUUCAGUCUAUACAAAUGGCAUCAUUUAGACUUCUUCAGCCUAGUGUACCAAGCCUUCAUUUAGUCACUCUUACUGAUAAGUUUGGAAGGAAAAAGGAAAAAAUUAUAUCCUGUUCAAUAUAUGUGUGUAUUAAGCAAGUAAAUAUGGUAUUCUUUCCCAUUUCUAAAGAAAAUCUUAUUCACAUACUGAAUAACUACAGUAAUCUAUAAUGUGAUUUAUUUGACCAACGUAAAAGGUCUUUUUAGAAACAACUGACAGUUCUCAGAUCUGUGGGAAUUUUCAAUUUAAUGAUAAUUUUUUCUUAAAAAAAAAAUGUUUAGAUGCCAAGUCUUAAAUAACCCCUUCAAAGACCUUCCACUAAUCUGAUGGGGCAGGAAAGUGAUGAUCAGUAUAUUUUGUUAAACAAUAAAAUACAGCAUGGAAAGAAAAUAAAGCAUAAGCUAUAAAUGAAAACUAUGACAGCUUAAGCCAAAAGGAAUACUCCACGUAUAUUCAGAAAUAGGAUUUAAAAUAUGAUUAGUCCUUCUUUAGGUGGAAGCUUUUUGAGAGGAUAAUCCUAUGAAAAUUAAAAAGUCUUGAUUUUUUUGUUGUAGGUUACAAGAAUGGAUUUAGUCAGCCAAGAUUAAAUAUGGGGGACUGCACAGAACCUGUAUUAGGAUAAGAAUAUUGGGGGAAAACAGUAGAUGAGGUACCAGAUGUUAUGGAGUUGCAUCUUUGUAAAUACAUGCAGUAAAAUCUGUACACCAUUCCUUUAACCCAAAUGCCACUCACCAAUCUCCUUAUGCUUCUGCAGUACAAUAAUUGAGGUUUAUAAUGAUGAUCCUGAUAUGACUUCUGAAUCAUAGCAAAAAAAUUAAAUUAUGUUCUGCUUCGCCUUCAUGUA